GGCUCAAUGGUCUAGUGGUAUGAUUCCUGCUUCGGGUCGCACCCAGAAGUUCGAAAGAAACGAAUUCUUGCAGGAGGCCUCGGGUUCGAAUCCCGAUUGAGCCC